UAAAAAAAUAUAACAUGUCCUAUUCUUGUCCGCGCUUUGCGGACAAGAAUAGGCAUUUAUAUUGCCGGUGCCUGUUCUGCAAAUUGCAGAAGGCAACAGACUGCUUCAGUUUUUUGCAAAUCCCAUAAAACCGCACGGCAGUG